AAGUCGUAACAAGGUUUCCGUAGGUGAACCUGCGGAAGGAUCAUUAUCACGUAUCCACGUAUAAACCAUUGCGAACUGUUUGUACCUUUGGAGGAAAUGGGGUUCGUUUUUUGUUGGAGCGGGCACAUGGGAGCUUCUUGUGAUUUAUAAGCUCUCGCUCGAUUUCCAACCAAUGGCUUCGGCUGUUUUACCUGUUUUCUCUGAAGUGUAUUUUAUAAAUCACUUUUCUCAUUAACCCUUUAAACCACAAUCUUUAAAACUUCUGAACUAAUCUAUUUCUUACUCUUCGGAGAAGAAAUUUUAUUACGAAACUAAAGAACAACUCUUAGCAACGGAUAUCUUGGUUCUC
rnacentral:misc_RNA from 1 species